GAUGAAGAACGCAGCGAAAUGCGAUAAGUAAUGUGAAUUGCAGAAUUCAGUGAAUCAUCGAAUCUUUGAACGCAUCUUGCGCUCCUUGGUAUUCUGAGGAGCAUCCCUGUUUGAGUGUCAUUAAAUUCUCAACUACACUGACUUUGAAUUGGUGUGGCUUGGAUUUGGGGGGAAAAUUGUUGUGGGCUUUUUGUAUAGUCUGCUCCCCUGAAAUUGAUUAGCGGUACCUUUGUGGAACUGUCUACAGGUGUGAUAAUUAUCUACAUCUUAGACAUCUGCUGGAAUGCUGCUUUCUAAACCUUACUUGUAUUGACAAUCUUGACCUCAAAUCAGGUAGGACUACCCGCUGAACUUAAGCAUAUCAAUAAGCGGAGGA
rnacentral:misc_RNA from 1 species